CCUACGGGAGGCAGCAGUGGGGAAUCUUGCGCAAUGGGGGAAACCCUGACGGAGCGACGCCGCGUGAGGGAUGAAGGUCUUCGGAUUGUAAACCUCUUUUGUUCGGGAAGAAUAAGGGUGUCAGGAAAUGGGCAUCCGAUGACGGUACCGAAUGAAUAAGCCCCGGCUAAUUACGUGCCAGCAGCCGCGGUAAU
rnacentral:rRNA from 1 species